rnacentral:rRNA from 1 species
UACGUAGGGGGCAAGCGUUAUCCGGAUUUACUGGGUGUAAAGGGAGCGUAGGUGGCAAGGCAAGCCAGAAGUGAAAACCCGGGGCUUAACCCCGCGGAUUGCUUUUGGAGCUGUCUGGCUGGAGUGCAGGAGGGGCAGGCGGAAUUCCUGGUGUAGCGGUGAAAUGCGUAGAUAUCAGGAGGAACACCGGUGGCGAAGGCGGCCUGCUGGACUGUAACUGACACUGAGGCUCGAAAGCGUGGGGAGCAAACAGG